GAGAGAGAGAGAGAGAGUGUGUGUCAGGGCCUUUUAGAGAGGAUGGGAACACGCAAGGCAUUUUAGAUUUUUAAUGGGCCCUUGUGGGGCCCAUUAGAGGUGAAUGAAUAUACAGACCGUUCGAUCGACAACACUGGACCGGCUGUGAUCUAGAUUUCUGUAGAAUCGGAUGCAUGAUAACUAAUUGCUCUGCCUUUCUGGACUUCUGAGCUUCAGAGCCCAAUGCACAAGCCCAAGUUCUCACCCAGAAGCCCUACCGUCCUCCCCUCUGCAUCUUCUUCUUCCCUUCUCCAAACCCUAAACUCACUCUUCUCCUUUUGCGGCGGCCGCAGCUUCAUUUUGACGGUUGAACCUCUGCGAUCCUUUCGAGAAAAUGGCACCCAAGAAGGAUAAGGCUCCACCUCCGUCUUCUAAGCCAGCCAAAUCUGGUGGAGGGAAGCAGAAGAAGAAGAAAUGGAGCAAGGGUAAGCAAAAGGAGAAGGUGAACAACAUGAUUUUGUUCGAUCAAGCCACCUAUGACAAGCUUCUUUCUGAGGUUCCCAAGUACAAGCUUGUCACUCCUUCAAUCUUGUCCGACAGAUUGAGGAUCAAUGGAUCUCUGGCACGUCGGGCAAUCAAGGAUCUGAUGGCAAAAGGUGGUAUCAGGAUGAUAUCUGCUCAUGCUAGCCAGCAGAUUUACACAAGAGCCACCAACACCUAGGAGAAAAUGAAUUAGUCUGCAUUUUGCUUUUAACUCAUAGGAUGUUUCUCAUUUUCCGAGAUGCCAACUUUAUCUUUGCCUUUUCAUUUUCUUUACUUGUGACCUUUAAAGAUUGUUUACACCUUUACAGUGAGUGCUCUGUUUUUUUGGCUACCAAUCGAACUGGAUACAAUAACGAGCACGAGUCAUUUUGGCUUCUUACCCGGGUUCCUUCCUUCACUGGAGCAGACAAUAGUGAUUCUUUAAUGGGUGACAGCUUAAUUUGAACUAGCCUUAAUAUAAUUAACUUAAUUUGAGCCAGUCUUAAUAUUAUUUUAUACUAAGUUGAUUCAUGUGAGUUUCACCUGUAUUAGAAUGUAGACUGAUGAUUGCUUGCACAAUUUGAUAUUUUCCAAUUUAUGUAUCAUGGAAUAGUGUUGGACCAUGUGGGGCAGCUCCCUUCAUGCGAGUAGAAG
rnacentral:misc_RNA from 1 species